rnacentral:rRNA from 1 species
UACGGGGGGGGCAAGCGUUGUUCGGAAUUACUGGGCGUAAAGGGCUCGUAGGCGGCCAACUAAGUCAGACGUGAAAUCCCUCGGCUUAACCGGGGAACUGCGUCUGAUACUGGAUGGCUUGAGUUUGGGAGAGGGAUGCGGAAUUCCAGGUGUAGCGGUGAAAUGCGUAGAUAUCUGGAGGAACACCGGUGGCGAAGGCGGCAUCCUGGACCAACACUGACGCUGAGUGAGCGAAGCCAGGGAGCAACGGG